UUGGAGGGCAAGUCUGGUGCCAGCAGCCGCGGUAAUUCCAGCUCCAAUAGCGUAUAUUAAAGUUGUUGCAGUUAAAAAGCUCGUAGUUGAAUUUCGGGAUUGACACAUCGGUCGUGCCUUAAGGGGUAUGAACUGGUGUAGUCAAUUUCUCACCUUCUGGAGAACCGCAAUGCCCUUAAUUGGGUGUCGCGGGGAACCAGGACCUUUACUUUGAAAAAAUUAGAGUGUUUAAGGCAGGCAUUUUGCUUGAAUACAUUAGCAUGGAAUAAUAAAACAGGACGGCAUGAUUCUAUUUUGUUGGUUUCUAGGAUCACCGUAAUGAUUAAUAGGGAUAGUUGGGGGCAUUAGUAUUCAAUUGUCAGAGGUGAAAUUCUUGGAUUUAUUGAAGACUAACUACUGCGAAAGCAUUUGCCAAGGAUGUUUUCAUUAAUCAAGAACGAAAGUUAGGGGAUCGAAGACGAUCAGAUACCGUCGUAGUCUUAACCAUAAACUAUGCCGACUAGGGAUCGGAUGAUGUUAUUUUUAAUGACUCAUUCGGCGCCUUACGGGAAACCAAAGUGUUUGGGUUC
rnacentral:rRNA from 1 species